rnacentral:lncRNA from 1 species
AUCAGCCUCUGGGAUCUGUGGUAAUUUAAAUGUAGUUGCUCUUUCCUUUCAGGUUUUUCCCAUGGUUUGAUUUGAUUUUUCUGCAUUUCCAUUAACUUGAGGAUUUUCUACUACCAUGAAGUGUGUUUUAUAACCUCUUUUUUGCCCACACACACUUGGAUCACUUUAAUCAGUUUAAGGAAUUCCCUGAAGCAUGAGUGGAUUUUAUGAAAGGAUCCUCUGGAAACCAUGCAUUUUGUCAGAUAUGCCGUAUAAGGGAAGGUUCACCCAGCGGCCAAAGAGGAAGACUUGGGGCCUUCAUCCCACGACCACCAGAAGGCAUGAAAAGACCCCCUAGCAAUCCACGGAGCAAGCGCAGGAGGAGACAGAGCACGUCAUCCAGGGAUCCGGGAGGAGAAGACAAUAAAAAGCGAACUUUAAGGGGGGAAAGUUGCACGCCCAGAGGAGCGGGGACUCCUGGCCGCCCAGCGCUGAACCUUGCUUACUCUCGCUUGCAUCAUCAUAAAGAUAAUUAUACGAUCCUUAAAUUCAGUGAAUUCGUUUAUCACACCAGGAGCUGCAUUCUCUGCUGCUGCUGCCCCAAAUGCUGCUUCCAAAUGUAGAGCCCCUUUCUGCUAAAGCAAGUGUGAGAGAUGAGUAAUACGAUGAUUGACUCUCACAAUUAAUAGACAAAUAUAAUGUAUAUAGGUUAAGAAAAGUUUUAUAGAUUUAUGGUUAUGUUGUACCCCCUCACGUGGUUCUCAAGGGACAUCUGGGAGGGCUGGCUUGUCAGUGUGGUGACACCUGACCUCCAGUCAGGAUUUGCUUCAAACCUUUGCUCUACCACCGGACAGUGAAGAAGGGGUUGAUGGACAGAACUUUGGGAGGAAUUAAAGGGUUAAAAAGAAGAAAACCCUCCAUUGUCAGGGAGCUGAGCACAUGGUGGGGAAAAUCUUUUGCUCCCAGUGCCGUAACCUUUUUUAUUUAUUCAGUCUUCUGCAGUAUUUCUGUGAAAUACAAAGCUCUGUUUCGUGUCAGGUACAAACAGGCAAUGUGUGUAUUUGUGAUUGCAAUAUGUGUGGAGACCGACCAUGGGACAGCUGUGAAUUCUAAUCAUAACUGAGGAAGUAAAGCAUGGAAGAAGGCCUUUGAACCCAUCUUUUGUUUGCAAUUAACCUUGGUUGAUUUAGGAGCAUUGGAAUUAAAGCUUUAAGGAUGUUGUGUUUUGUUUGUAGGUAAGCCUUAAAGAGUUCUGCAAUAAUAACCUUUUGAAGUAUAAUCUUAGAAUAUUGCUUGUAUCCUUGAAACUAUGGCUUUGGAAUAUACAUAAAGAAAAUAUGCUUAUGUCUCACCUUAAUAAAGCAGAGAAAAGCAGCUUGAGAAAGGAAGAU